AAGCAGCUUGCUGCUUUGCUGACGAGUGGCGGACGGGUGAGUAAUGCCUGGGAAACUGCCUGAUGGAGGGGGAUAACUACUGGAAACGGUAGCUAAUACCGCAUAACGUCGCAAGACCAAAGAGGGGGACCUUCGGGCCUCUUGCCAUCGGAUGUGCCCAGAUGGGAUUAGCUAGUAGGUGGGGUAACGGCUCACCUAGGCGACGAUCCCUAGCUGGUCUGAGAGGAUGACCAGCCACACUGGAACUGAGACACGGUCCAGACUCCUACGGGAGGCAGCAGUGGGGAAUAUUGCACAAUGGGCGCAAGCCUGAUGCAGCCAUGCCGCGUGUAUGAAGAAGGCCUCCGGGUUGUAAAGUACUUUCAGCGGGGAGGAAGGUGUUGAGGUUAAUAACCUCAGCGAUUGACGUUACCCGCAGAAGAAGCACCGGCUAACUCCGUGCCAGCAGCCGCGGUAAUACGGAGGGUGCAAGCGUUAAUCGGAAUUACUGGGCGUAAAGCGCACGCAGGCGGUCUGUCAAGUCGGAUGUGAAAUCCCCGGGCUCAACCUGGGAACUGCAUUCGAAACUGGCAGGCUAGAGUCUUGUAGAGGGGGGUAGAAUUCCAGGUGUAGCGGUGAAAUGCGUAGAGAUCUGGAGGAAUACCGGUGGCGA
rnacentral:rRNA from 1 species